GGGACCUCAUACCUGUCCUUGGUUCAGCUUCUGAGGAUGGUUCUGAUCAACUCCCAGGAGUUCCCAACCAGAUGUCAGUAGUACCCCUAGAAACCCUUCUUUCUCUUCCAUGUACUGAUUUUAAAGAUUAUCCUGCCAACUCAGUUUCUCCACCCCACCCCACCCAUCCCAGCCUGUGACUGCCAGUCAUAUUUCUUGAGCAAAGCCAUCCAGGUUCUGGGGAAUACUAAUUAGCACCUCCUUCCCUUCCAGAUGGGCAAGCACUUAUGGGUCUUUAAGUCCGCCACUUAAAAUACUGGUGAAUAUACCUUGUGGUUGUUUGCUGCCUCUUAUUCAAAGAACUAAGUGAUUUAUUAACAGAAAUGUAUCCAGUUGAGAGGCCACUUAUUUGCACAUGUUAAAAGGUAACAUUUUAAGAAACAAACACCCUGAGCUAUACAGAGUGGGCAGCCCCGAGUCUGUACUGAGUUAUGUUUAGCCUGCAGUAAGUGCCGAGUCAGGGAUACAGUACUUAAAAUUGGAUUUUGGAUGACAGAAUUUCAUGUGGCAUUAUUUUCUAGAGAAGCCAGUCCAUUGGAGAGGGAAAGAACAAAAGCACAGGCGAUUAGUUCCAGGACACCCCUUUGAUACGAAAAUCCACAGAUGCUCAAGUUCCUUAUGUGAAAUGGCAUAGUAUUUGAAUACGACCUAUGCUACAUCCUCCUGUAUUCUUUAAAUUAUGUCUGAAUUUCAUAUGGUUAAAACUUAAUACAAUGUAAAUGCUAUGUAAAUAGUUAAAAUAAAUGACAAGAAAAAGUCUA